GGAUUGAAUAAGAGGAGGAGGGAGGAGUAGGAGGAGGAGAAGGUGGAGUAGGAGGAGGGGAAGGUGGAGUGGGAGGGAGGAAUAGGAGGAGUGGAAGGUGAAGUAGAGGGAGGAGUAGGAGGAGGAGAAGGUGGAGUAGAGGAGAGGAGAAAGAGGAGGAGAAGGAGGAGGAGAGAGAAGUAGAAGGAGGAGAAGGUGGAGUAGGAGGAGGAGGAGUAGGAGUAGGCAGGGGUGGGCAGGUAAGGGAGCAGACAGGUCUCCGAAUGGAGGCGUGGGUAUGUAGCAGUGGAGGAUACAUCAGAAAUCAGAAUUAAGUAGAAAUGCAAUGGAGGCUGCAAAUAGC